rnacentral:tRNA from 1 species
ACUCCUGUGGCACAAUGGGUCAGUGCCUAUGGCUGUUAACCAGAAGGUUGGUGGUUUGAGCCCACCCAGGGACG